GCCUGGGUAGCUCAGUUGGUUAAGCAUCUGACUUCUGCUCAGGUUAUGAUCUCAUGUUUUGUGAGUUGGAGCCCCACGUCAGGCU
rfam:Felis catus isolate Cinnamon breed Abyssinian chromosome F1, whole genome shotgun sequence.